CCCACUCAAGUGACGCACCCCUCCUAGGGACGGCAUGAAAGAGCACCAGUAAGCCAGUGACUCAGCUCCUGUAAUAGGGUUAGAGGCAGUGGAUGGAGGGGAACCGGCCAGGCAGAGACAGCAAGGGCGGUUCAUUGCUCCAGAGCCUUUCCGUUCACCUUCACACUCGUGGGCCAGACUACACUCAAUCAUAUGACCCACUGAAGAGAUGAGUCUUCAGUAAAGACUUAAAGGUUGAGACUGAGUUUGCCUCUCUCACAUGGGUAGGCAGACCAUUCCAUAAAAAUGGAGCUCUAUAGGAGUAAGCCCUGCCUCCAGCUGUUUGCUUAGAAAUUCUAGGGACAAUUAGGAGGCCUGCGUCUUGUGACCGUAGCGUACGUGUAGGUAUGUACGGCAGGACCAAAUCAGAGAGAUAGGUAGGAGCAAGCCGAUGUAAUGCUUUGUAGGUUAGCAGUAAAACCUUGAAAUCAGCCCUUGCCUUGACAGGAAGCCAGUGUAGGGAGGCUAGCACUGCUGUAGAGCACAUCACUCCCCCUAACUGGCAGGGGGCCAGAGACAAUUACUCAAUGCCGACACAUCUUUCUAGCUGAUUUACACGCUGAAGCUAUGUUGCGCUUGGUGAACUCUGACUGUUUCAUCCUAACAUCGUUGGUGCCGACGUGGAUAACAAUAUCUCUAUACUCUCCACUCGCCAGUUUUAGCUUUAGCCAGCACCAUCUUCAGAUUAGCCUUAACGUCGGUAGCCCUGCCCCCUGGUAAACAGUGUAUGAUCGCUGGAUGAUUCGUUUUAAGUCUAUGUCGCCAAUGACUAGAGUUUUCAAUUUGUCAGAGCUAAUGGUGGGAAGCUUCGGCGUCCCAGACCCCGUAACGGGAGGAGUAGAGACAAGAGAAGGCUCGGCCUCUGACCGACUCAUUGCUUAAUGGGGAAAACCGGUUGAAAGUUUCUGUCGGCUGAAUGAGCGAUACCGGUUGAGCAUUCCUACAACAUUUCCCUCCAGAAACCGUGAGAAAGUUGUCCGGCUGCGGGGACCGUGCGAGAGGAUUUAUACUAACGUUACUAUCUGUACUUACUCGUGGCACAGACGCUGUUUCAUCCUUUCCUACACUGAAAUUACCCUUGCCUAACGAUUGUGUCUCAAGCUGGGCUUGCAGCACAGCUAACCUCGCCGUAAGGUGAUCGUUCUCCUGUAUAUUAUGAGUACAGCGACUGCAAUUAGAAGGCAUCAUGUUAAUGUUACUACUUAGCUUCGGCUGUUGGAGGUCCUGACGAACCACGUCCAGAUAAAGCGUCCGGAGUGAAAAAGUUGAAUGAAAAAAAAGUUGAGGGAAAAAAUAUAAACGGUAAUUAAAAAGUAAAAACCUGUAAAGUUGUCAGGUAGCAAAGUAAGGUUGGCAACAAAACGCAGCAACACGUAAACAAGUCUGCAAGUUAUAAGCAGAAACAUAUCUAAAUCAGGCAAAAUAAUCCUGCACCCCCUGUCAAAAAAUCGUUCUGCAGUCUUUGACUGUAGCCUAUGGCACAUGUUCUAUAUUUGCGGGUUAGGGUCGGAUGAGGGCCUCAGAUUUUCACUUUAUCACAUAUAGUUGGGCGGUUGGGGAUGGGUUAUUAGCAAUUGCGGACAGGUGUGGGUGAACAAACAGCUCACCCGUGCACCACUGGUAUGCAUACAUCUGCAUUUUGAUCUCGGGACAUUCAGAGGGCAGGUCAUUUAUGUAGCUAUAAAUUGGAUAAAAGUGGGCCCCAAAAGUAUCCAUGAGGGGCCCCGAUAGAGCAGUCAGAGGAUGUUGACAGUUUGCCAUUGAUUUUGGUGCAUGGUUUUCUUUUGGUCAGGUUGCUUACCCCCAGCCAGGUGAGGAGAUGGGACCGCCGGUCAUGGCGCCGACAGCUAGACAGCAGUGCCUCGGACUCCCCAGCAUCUGAUGGCAGUGUCAUGCUCAGCCCACUCUAUACCCACUCCCCCUUCCUCUCUCCCACAGCUACCAGCACUCCUCCCCACCCUGCUCCUCUUUCUAACACAUCUCCCAACAUCCCAAUAUUUUCCCCUUCCUUCUCUCUCAGUACGCCUUCCAGUUGUCCUAGCACGCCACUUUACCCCCACUCUUUCACCUCCAGUGCCCCUGGCACCCCAUUACGAAGUCAGGUGACAUCUUCCAGUGCCCCUUGUACCCCAUUACGAAGUCAGGUGACAUCUUCCAGUGCCCCUUGCACCCCAUUACGAAGUCAGGUGACAUCUUCCAGUGCCCCUGGCACCCCAUUACGAAGUCAGGUGACAUCUUCCAGUGCCCCUGGCACCCCAUUACGAAGUCAGGUGACAUCUUCCAGUGCCCCUGGCACCCCAUUACGAAGUCAG
ensembl:lncRNA